UACGAGGGGGGCAAGCGUUGUUCGGAAUUACUGGGCGUAAAGAGUGUGUAGGCGGUGUUCUAAGUUUGUCGUGAAAUCUCCCGGCUUAACUGGGAGGGUGCGGCGAAAACUGGAAUGCUAGAGGAUGGGAGAGGUAAGCGGAAUUCCUGGUGUAGCGGUGAAAUGCGCAGAUAUCAGGAGGAACACCGGUGGCGAAGGCGGUUCUCUGGGCAUUACCUGACGCUGAGGAGCGAAAGUGUGGGGAGCGAACAGG
rnacentral:rRNA from 1 species